CAAAUCUAUMCGUGAAACUGCGAAUGGCUCACUAUAUCAGUUAUAGUUUAUCUUGAUGGUUCUUGCUACUUGGAUAACCGUAGUAAUUCUAGAGCUAAUACAUGCGUCAAACCCCGACUUCUGGGAGGGGUGUAUUUAUUAGAUGGAAACCAAUGCGGGGCAACCCGGUAUAUGGUGAUUCAUAAUAACUUUCGGAUCGAUCUUCGGAUCGAUGCAUCAUUCAAGUUUCUGCCCUAUCAGCUUUGGAUGGUAGGGUAUUGGCCUACCAUGGCUUUAACGGGUAACGGAGAAUUAGGGUUCGAUUCCGGAGAGGGAGCCUGAGAAAUGGCUACCACAUCCRAGGAAGGCAGCAGGCGCGUAAAUUACCCAAUCCUGACACAGGGAGGUAGUGACAAUAAAUAACAAUGCCGGGCUUUUAUAAGUCUGGCAAUUGGAAUGAGAACAAUUUAAAUCCCUUAUCCAGGAUCAAUUGGAGGGCAAGUCUGGU
rnacentral:rRNA from 1 species